rnacentral:rRNA from 1 species
UACGUAGGGAGCAAGCGUUGUCCGGAAUCAUUGGGCGUAAAGCGCGCGUAGGUGGCUUCGUAAGUCCGUUGUGAAAGUCAAAGGCUCAACCUUUGAAAGCCGAUGGAUACUGCGGAGCUAGAGUACGGAAGAGGCGAGUGGAAUUCCUGGUGUAGCGGUGGGAUGCGCAGAUAUCAGGAGGAACACCAAUAGCGAAGGCAGCUCGCUGGGACGUUACUGACACUGAGGCGCGAAAGCGUGGGGAGCGAACAGG